rnacentral:rRNA from 1 species
UACAGAGGGUGCAAGCGUUAAUCGGAAUUACUGGGCGUAAAGGGUGCGUAGGUGGUUGGCUAAGUGAGGUGUGAAAGUCCCGGGCUCAACCUGGAAAGUCAUUUCAUACUGGUCGACUUGAGUAGGGUAGAGGGAGGUGGAAUUUCCGGCGUAGCGGUGAAAUGCGUAGAUUUCGGAAGGAACACCGGUGGCGAAGGCGGCCUCCUGGACCCAUACUGACACUGAGGCACGAAAGCGUGGGUAGCAAACAGG